rnacentral:rRNA from 1 species
UACGUAGGUCCCGAGCGUUGUCCGGAUUUAUUGGGCGUAAAGCGAGCGCAGGUGGUUUAUUAAGUCUGGUGUAAAAGGCAGUGGCUCAACCAUUGUAUGCAUUGGAAACUGGUAGACUUGAGUGCAGGAGAGGAGAGUGGAAUUCCAUGUGUAGCGGUGAAAUGCGUAGAUAUAUGGAGGAACACCGGUGGCGAAAGCGGCUCUCUGGCCUGUAACUGACACUGAGGCUCGAAAUCGUGGGGAGCAAACAGG